AUUUUUUGUUUUUGGGUUUGUUUUUGAGACAGAGUCUCACUAUGCAGUUCAGGCUGGAUUUGAACUCACUAUGUAGCCCUGGCCGGCCUCAAACUCAGGGCAAUCCUCUUGCCUCAGCCUCCCGAGUACUGAGAUUACAGGCAUGCACUACCAUGCCCAGCCCUGCCCUAUGUUAUAAGAAGAAAUUAUGUUAACUAUGCCUCCUCAGUAUAUUAAUUAAAUCUCCUAUUUGAGAAUCAAUGCAGCAGGAGCUAUUCUAGAUCGAUACUUAGCCUUCUCCAAACUUCUCUGCAGAUGUUCUGCUUUCUUGCAAGGCUGUAGCCCUCCUAAGCACCCCCACAGUACUCAUGGAUUUCUGUGUGUACCAACCUGUAACUGUUUACCUGUCUAUACCCUAUUAAUCCAGCACUUGAGUUUAAAUUUUAUUCAAGGACUGAAUCUUGAUACUUGUAUUUCCUUAGCCUCUAUGUUCAUAUUAAAUAUUUGUCAAACCAGUGAACUGAUAAGUGUACAGUAUUUCUUAUGUUUUAUCCUUCCAGCUGAGGAGACAGCUAAGUAAUUGCUGAUUAAUAUGGUAAUACAAUUGAGACAUA
rnacentral:lncRNA from 1 species